CGGGGCGUGGCGCAGCCUGGUAGCGCGCACCCUUGGGGUGGGUGAGGCCGGAGGUUCAAAUCCUCUCGCCCCGA
rnacentral:tRNA from 1 species